GACGAACGCUGGCGGCGUGCCUAAUACAUGCAAGUCGAACGAAGCUGUUUUAACUGGUGCUUGCACCGACUUAAACAACUGAGUGGCGAACGGGUGAGUAACACGUGGGUAACCUGCCCCAAAGCGGGGGAUAACAUUUGGAAACAGAUGCUAAUACCGCAUAACCACAGAAACCACAUGGUUUCUGUGUCAAAGAUGGUUUCGGCUAUCACUUUGGGAUGGACCCGCGGCGUAUUAGCUAGUUGGUAAGGUAGUGGCUUACCAAGGCAGUGAUACGUAGCCGAACUGAGAGGUUGAUCGGCCACAUUGGGACUGAGACACGGCCCAAACUCCUACGGGAGGCAGCAGUAGGGAAUCUUCCACAAUGGACGAAAGUCUGAUGGAGCAACGCCGCGUGAGUGAAGAAGGUUUUCGGAUCGUAAAACUCUGUUGUCAGAGAAGAACGUGUGCGAGAGUAACUGCUCGUGCAGUGACGGUAUCUGGCCAGAAAGCCACGGCUAACUACGUGCCAGCAGCCGCCGUAA
rnacentral:rRNA from 1 species